rnacentral:rRNA from 1 species
AUUGAACGCUGGCGGCAGGCCUAAAAGAUGCAAGUCGAGCGGAGCGGCGGACGGGUGAGUAAUGCCUAGGAAUCUGCAUGGUAGUGGGGGAUAACGUCCGGAAACGGGCGCUAAUACCGCAUACUAUCAGAUGAGCCUAGGUGGGAGUAGCUAGUUGGUGGGGUAAAGGCCUACCAAGGCGAGCAUCCGUAACUGGUCUGAGAGGAUGAACAGGCACACUGGAACUGAGACACGGUCCAUACUCCUACGUGAGGCAGCAGUGGGGAAUAUUGGACAAUGGGCUAAAGCCUGAUCCAGCCAUGCCGCGUGUGUGAAGAAGGUCUUCGGAUUGUAAAGCACUUUAAGUUGGGAGGCGUUACCAACAGAAUAAGCACCGGCUCCCUUCCUGCCAGCAGCCGCGGUAAUUC